UACAGAGGUCUCAAGCGUUGUUCGGAUUCAUUGGGCGUAAAGGGUGCGUAGGUGGCGCGGUAAGUGGGGUGUGAAAUUUCGGAGCUUAACUCCGAAACUGCAUUCCAUACUGCCGUGCUCGAGGACUGGAGAGGAGACUGGAAUUUACGGUGUAGCAGUGAAAUGCGUAGAGAUCGUAAGGAAGACCAGUGGCGAAGGCGGGUCUCUGGACAGUUCCUGACACUGAGGCACGAAGGCCAGGGGAGCAAACGGG
rnacentral:rRNA from 1 species